GACGAACGCUGGCGGCGUGCUUAACACAUGCAAGUCGAACGGAAAGGCCUGCUUUCCCUUGUGGAUUGCGGGUACUCGAGUGGCGAACGGGUGAGUAACACGUGAGUUAUCUGCCCCCAACUUGGGUAUAAGCCUGGGAAACUGGGUCUAAUUCCCGAUAGGACUGCAGGGUGGUGCCUGUGGUGGAAAACGAUUUUCUAGUGGUUGGGGAUGAGCUCGCGGCCUAUCAGCUUGUUGGUGGGGUAAUGGCCUACCAAGGCGGCGACGGGGAGCCGGCCUGGGAGGGUGGACGGCCACAUUGGGACUGAGAUACGGCCCAGACUCCUACGGGAGGCAGCAGUGGGGAAUAUUGCACAAUGGGCGGAAGCCUGAUGCAGCGACGCCGCGUGGGGGAUGACGGCCUUCGGGUUGUAAACUCCUUUCGACCGCGAGGAAGCCACCUGGUUGGAGGGGUGGUGACGGUAGUGGUAGAAGAAGCACCGGCUAACUACGUG
rnacentral:rRNA from 1 species